UAAACAUGGACCGACGGCAGGCCGGCCCGCUCCCGAGCAUCUAGACUAAAACAACCGACAUGAACCACUCCCUUCAUCCAAAUCCUAUCCUUAGCAUCUCCUCGCCCGCCCCGCCUGCGGCCGCAUCUCGCCCGCCCGCCCGCCCGCCGCCGCCUUCGGUGGCCGCCGCCGGCUGCGGCGAUGGUCCGGGUAGCGGCAGCGGCCUGCUCGGCUCAGCUCGCCCCUCCCUCGCCCUCCUACCUCUCUCUUCCCCUGCCUUCCACCUCCUCCCGGGCUCCCGGCCACAAACCUCGUCGCCCCUUCACCUCCGCCGGCCACCGGGUCCGGAUCCGGCCUUCUCCUCGCCGGAUCCGAGGUACCCAUGGCCGGAUCCAAUUAGGGGUCGCGCCGUCCCUGCCGCCGCUUGCCCCAUGGGGUGUGCCCCUGGUGGUGGCUGCAGGUUCGUGGCCACCGCUGCCGCCACUCGCCCCGGGUCGCUGCUGCGGUGUAGUUCUCUUUCCAUGGCCACCGUCCAGCGACAUCCGCACCCCUUUUGUGCAGAUCCGAGCUGAAGCAGGCAACCCCUCAUUGGAUUUCGGUUCCACUCGUCUGGAUCGAGCAGAAGCAGAUCUCUCCAAGAGGCCAACGAUCCCUGGUUCAAUUUUGGCCAUGGUCAUAAAGCAGAUCCCUUCCUGUCCGGCCCCUCUUAUCUUGUGGUUGUUACAAUCGUGAAAUCAAGGUGGCAUCUUUCAAUGCCCACUUCUUCUGCAAGGGUCUGUGCAAGGAGUCCCUUGAAUGUCCUUUGAUUCAUGGGUACUUGGAAUUCGCAAGGCUGAAAGAUACAAAUAGCUAGUGCUGACUGCUGAAUUAUACUAAGAUCAUGGAGACAACAAGCUCGAGUGUACUUCAUUUCACACACUCUCUUCACCUUUUAUGUUGCAACAUACUCAACUGAUUGGUUGUAAUUUAUUUACAGUGCUGCUGCUGCUAGCUAGCAACUGAAUUGCCUGGAACACUGCAUACUAUGUGAUUGAGGGAAAAGGCUGCGUAGGGAAAGGUACCUUGCUGAAAUCUGGAAGGGCAGCAAGUCGAUAGCUGUUGGCACCCUGCAGCAAGAGCGCUUUCCUUCUCAUUACUUGAUCAGGUAAAAAGACACAAUAUAAUUGAAUUGGCCAGAUCAGCUUUUGAGAUAAUACAUCAAAGGGAUAUACUAGCCUUUCAUUUAGUAGGUUGGUCUCAUUUUUUAAUCUUCAGUUAGAGUGGGUUCAUCUUAAGUAGUUUUGUUCUGAACCAAACUGAACUCCUGUAUGGUUUCUGUGCAUAUUUUAUUUAUUGUUGUGUUCAAGAAUUUACAAAGGACAAUUUAGGAUCAAAAGAUUCUAGUAGUGCUUCUUCACGUUGUUCUAAACCAGACUAAGCACGUGUAUGGUUUCUACCCAUGACUUCGAUCAUCAUUACUAUUUAAUUUUCAAUUCUGACAACUUGCAGAUGGGUCACUAUAUGAUUCAGUUAAUUUUUUCACUUGGUUAGUUAAAAAAAUACAAUGAGAUGGAGCUAGCAGUAAGUUUCAUGAUGAUUCAGUUCAAGUUCAAGGUGAAUUUAUGUUGAUCUUUGGUUUACUUGACCGAAAAUUAUAUUGAGCUGUCUUAUCUAGAAGUUAAGAUAUCUUGCUGGGAAUCCUAUAUACACUAGGAGCUAUAGAAGUUCAAGCAACCUGUAAUAUGGUGAUCUGAAAGAAUGUAUAUUUGGUGGAGUACUCAUACAAUUUGUCAUAAAGACUUUAGAUCAUUUAUUCAUUUUAUUCCAAUAGCUUGAUCUAUGCCAUUUUGAUCUAUAUAAUAGCUUGAUGGAUGUCAUUCUGAUCUGUAUGUAACAUGUGUAUGGAACUAUGAGAAAUAUUGGUUUUGAUGGAGUUAUAAGAAAUUGCAGUUGCGUGUGCAAA